UCUGUUUCCUUUUCCAGAUCAAUACAGAGUUUAAGCAAAAACCUCAAGCAAGAAUUCUUCUUUGCACUUGAUCAACAUACAGCUCGAUUUCUGGACAUUUUUGAAACCAAGAAAGGGGCAGUUUGAAAAAGACUUUCUGAGUAUCUUCAGGAAAUGAAAUCUGUGAGCACUGACGUCACUGCUAAGCGGACAGCAGUUCUUUGUGGCCUCCCUCUACUUUUUGGAGAAGAAACUUCUGACUUUUUUAAAACAAUGUCGGCAAGUACCUUUCUUAUAUUUCAUUCUAAACUAUAAUCAACUAUAUGUGCCAAAUCUACCAAAAAAUAUAUUUAGUUCAUUUGCAAAGGCCAAAUCAUCAUCCCCAUGAUUACUCGGAAAUGAUUUCCUCUUCUCCUGUCCUAUCAUUGUAUACACUCACUGCCAUGCCUGCCUUAAAUUAUUAUCCCUCAUCUUUCUCUCAAUCUUUUGCUUUUAAUUAUGUUUACACCUAAUAAUAAUGUGUCUUAUUUCUCUUUGCAUUACUUGUGUGGUUAAAACGUCCCGUUUCCAAAAGAUUAUUGGAGUUUAUGGCUUUACAAGAUGAUGAAUAUAAUGUGGAAACACCACAAAAGCAAAACAAAGACAUAUUAUGACAUUGGUGAGGAUGAAAUGAAUAGUUUUAUCAUCUCAAUUGAAAAAUAAUAUUCUUUAAGUAGCUGCUGACCUGUCCAAGAAGACUGUCAUCCGAAAAAAGCUCCAAAGGAUCUCAAAUGUCCAAAGACAGAGGAGAGCACUGAGGAUGGUGAACUCACAGAAGUAUCCUGGAAGUGGUAUGAUGCCAUGGAUGAGGCAGUUGGAGGCAGACCUUCAUUUAGUCCACCUUCCCUUAUUGCCUCAUCUGAUACAGAUGUUGCUUUGACCACAUCAGCCUCAGUGAGCCCAGAGCCAGAGAGAACUGGGACAAAAAGAAAAAACUUUGAGGACCUAAUCCGGGAG